CCAAUAGCGUAUAUUAAAGUUGCUGCAGUUAAAAAGCUCGUAGUUGAAUUUCGGGACCAUCAUGUCGGUCGUGCCUCGGUACGUACUGGCAUUGUUGGUUUCUCCCUUCUGACGAACCACGAUGUCAUUUAUUUGGUGUUGUGGGGAAUCAGGACUGUUACUUUGAAAAAAUUAGAGUGUUUAAAGCAGGCUCACGCUUGAAUACAUUAGCAUGGAGUAAUGAAAUAGGACGUUUGAUUCUAUUUUGUUGGUUUCUAGGAUCGACGUAAUGAUUAAUAGGGAUAGUUGGGGGCAUUAGUAUUCAAUUGUCAGAGGUGAAAUUCUUGGAUUUAUUGAAGACUAACUACUGCGAAAGCAUUUGCCAAGGAUGUUUUCAUUAAUCAAGAACGAAAGUUAGGGGAUCGAAGACGAUCAGAUACCGUCGUAGUCUUAACCAUAAACUAUGCCGACUAGGGAUCGGAUGAUGUUAAUUUUUUAAUGACUCAUUCGGCGCCUUACG
rnacentral:rRNA from 1 species